UUAAUAAAAGUGAAAUUAAAUAUCACAUUCAGUUUCGACCAGAAAAAUUGAGCUUAACUCUUAUUUUA
rnacentral:tRNA from 1 species